GUGCUUGCUUUGGCCGCACUUAUACUAAAAUUGGAAUGAUACAGAGAAGAAUAGCAUGGCCCCUGUGCAAGGAUGACAUGCAAAUUCAUUAAGUGUUCCAUAUUUUU